CAUAACAGCACUGAAAAAGCAAACGCAAGCAUAGUAGAAAGCAAAAUAGAAUGGAGUGAGAUCCAGUACCCACCAUUUAACAUUAUUUCUAUGAAGAUAAAAGCUACUUUAUAGUAAGAUUAACAGGCAGAGGGUAGGGUAUUUUGAGUUAUCUUUAUGACGUCAAAAAUUGGUUUGACUAUGGUGCACGCACUCGGGAAGCAAAGGUCAUGGAAAUACUACCCAUUUCUUGAUGCUUCCAGAUAAUUUCUCCAGGGCACCUCUGGAUGGAAAACACUACAGAAGCUACUGCUUCUGAUGAUAAGAAACAACUGGGAGUAGGAGUCUUUACUGAUGCAGCUGUAAUAAUUCAAUCAUAUAACUUAAGUGUGUGAAUUUGACUUCUCAGCAUGACCCUUUUGAGAAUUUUUUCCUCAGUGAUUUCUGCAAACAAAAUCCCUUUAAAUGUGUUAAGCUGGGUGCACAAAAUCACUAAACAUUUUUUAAAAAUCAGACUGAUGCUUAGCAUAUUUAUAAACCAACCCAAUAUACCUUCACGUAAACAAGAAAUCCAUUCCUGCUUCUACUCAAGAGCUUCAGCUUUAAGAAAAACAGACGACUAAACGCAAGAAUUACCAACGGUAUCUAAUUGACUAAAUCGAACUGUUUGUUUCAAACUUUUGUAAUGAUUCAAAGUUUAGUCCUGAAUCUUGUUGUUGAUGGGGCUGUCUCCCCCACCCCUUUUUCAGUUCUUCUUAUUCAUGUUCUAUCAUGCUAGACUGAUUUGGUUCCAGGACUAAGUGAAAAGGAAAGGAAAAGGAAGAGAGAGAUAAAAAACCUAAAUGAAUACAAUAUUUUCCAAGUAGUAAGAUCUGUUUAAAUGCAGAUUUGCCCUGAUUUUCCAGGGCAUGUAGAAUAGUAAACGACCUGUGUCUUAACUGGACAGGAUACUCAACAAACUAAAAAAAGAAGAUUACAUUGAUGAACAGCAUCCCACAAAUCUGGAAUAUUUUUAGGCCAAGAUUUUUAGGAAUGGGUUCUUUAUAUUAGAUUCCAAGUUCUUAUGCAAACAUCUCUAUAAAAUAGCUGUUCAGGGUUUUUUUGCUUUGUUUUGUUUUGUUUUUUGUUUUCUUAAUGAUGAGAAUACAGAAGCAAAUACUAGAUUCCAGAGUCUUUUUAAAACUGACCAGAAACUAUACCUUUUUUUCAUUAUUCUAUUGAUGAUUCACAUCUAAACUUUCCACAUGACAAUUAAAGUGCUGCCAACUAAGAUCUAAAGAAAAAUGAAUGUUGUUGCUGUUGAUGCAAAACUCCACUAUUUCCUCUAUGUGCCAUUUACUGCAACAAAAAACAGAGUGCAAAGCUCAACAAUGAUAGUUUGAGAGGAUCGCAACAGGACCAGUGCUGAAAUUCCCCAGUGACACAAGGGAAGAGGUGAAGUAAAAGCCAACACUGAGAUGUGAAUGUAGGAAAGGUUAUUUGACCAGCCAUGUACUUACAAAUCCAUCCAGAAUCUCUUCUGGUAAUCUGGCCACCAGGAGUGGAUGGCAUUUGGGAUGAAGCAAAUUUCUAAUAGGUUGGCUGUUAGGAGGGAGAAGUGGGAAUGAAGUAAACUGUCUCAAAGGACAGGAGGACACAGCAGAGAAAAUGGUAUUCUGGGAAGUCCUGAGGUAUGUAUAGAUGAGAUCAUGCCCUGCUGAACCUUUUUAUUAUUGUUAUAAACUUCACAUGAAGCAAAGCCAGAAUGCAGAAUGAUACUGAAGAAUCACCAGAGACUAGAGUCUGAAUAUUAUCUCUCUCAUUAACAAAAAUCCUAUGGGGACCAUCUUUAAAUGCACUGAUUUCAAACCUGGAGAAUGAAUAACUACUUUGGAUACAUAAUAUGAGGGGCACAGCAAAGCUGGAAGAAAUUCCAAUUAUUUCAGUUAAUAUUUUCAGAUUUUCAGUGCUUCAUUUAAUUUCGACCAGAGAUUGUUCUGUGGUAUGAUGAUUUUAUAGACGUAUAGUACAUCUUGGUUCCACUGAAGUUAGCAAAGGUGUUACUGUUCACUUCAAGCAGAUCGGCUAUACCACUACGUGUUGUGGCACAGCAGAUCUGCUUCACUGGGCAAAACACGUUGCCUAUUGACCAACCUGUGAUGGUGUGGGACAAGGGACAGUGGGAUCUCCCUGCUUUCUCUGCUCAGCCAGAUCCAUGCCCCAGGGAAAGCACUUUUCCCUACUCAACCAGACCUGGGUCAUAAUUCUGGCUGAGCAAGGGAAGCACCACAGAGGUUACAUACAUCUACCGCAAUAAAGUGGCAGAGUCCGUUACCACCUUUGGUGUGUCACUGAUUUUCCUUUCAUGUAGUGCAACAAAGGGUGAGAACAUAUAUUUGAUAAACAUUUGUGCUUCUAUAAAAAAAUGUUAUGGAGCCAGGAAUAGGACAUCAUGAGAUGUAUGUUUCCACCCAUAGAAUCAAGGGUUUAUUCUCUGAACAAUGACACAUUACUACACAUGAUUAUGAUGAUCCUUUCUGAAAUGCAGGAGUACAUUCUACUUCUCUUUGAACAGCUGCAUAGCUAUUUUGUAUAGCGCUUUUUAGUACAAAUUGCAUAAUUAUGAUGUCAAUGUUUAGAACAUCAUGUACAGUCCUACACUAUUGAUGCAUGUUUUAGGGACAUAUUUGUGUAACCUCUUUAGUUAAUAAGAUGUUCCUUUGUGACUUCUUGGAUAAAAUAAGAAAAUUACUACUGACCCUGUUUGUAGGUAUUGUAUUGUUCUGAUUAUAAAUAAACCUUUCUUUCCUCAGAAACAACCAUAAAAUAAGAGUCAACUUAGAUGGUGUUGACCUGUAAUGAGAAUAAUAGGGUCAUCUGUUCUGUACAAUAGUAUUAUAUGGAAAAUCUUAAGGGCCAUCUACCCUGGUAGGCUUAGCUUGCACGGGGAACCUCUGCAGUGGAAUGACAUGAAUUUAUUUUAGCUCACCAUUCCCAGAGAUCUCCUUGCUCUGUUCUGCUGGAGUAGGAGGCAUCAUGAAGCUAGGAGCUCAGAAAACCCUAAGAUUUUUUGCAUCAAUCUGAGGCCUCCAGAGCUAUGGCUCCACAGUAGGAAGCUGUAAAGCACAUGCAGACUUUCCCAUGCAGCCUGGUGCUGGCCAGGAACUGUCAUGGUCAAGAGCAAGUCCCAGCCCCAUGCCUGUUUGGGUAAUUGAGGCAUGGGGCUUAGAAAGAGCUGCAGGGGUGGGGCAAGUCCCAGCCCCUUGUUCUGAUCUGCUGGUGGGGCAGCUAGCUAGCUGCUGGCUGCCUCCCUGGUGAAUUGGGGCAGGGCCUGGGACCUGCCCCUCCCCUAUAGAUCUUUCCAAGCCUUGUACCCCUUAUUGGGAAGCCAGGGCCAGGAGGUCCCUGCUGCCAGGGCAGGGGGACAUUGUCCCCACCCCAGCAGCAGGCAGCCCCCUGGGGCCAGGAGACAGCUGUCUUCUCACCCAGUUCUUCCUGCCAGCCUCUGGGUUAGCAGGGAGAAGGGUGAAGAUAUCAAUGAAAUCACCAUUUUUGGCUAAAAUCUAGAACUAAUAGGAUGCUAGUAAAUUCAGAUAAAAAAGCCAAUACCACUACAAGUGACAUGGGGUGCCUGACUGUACAUAAUUUAAAAGUGUGUAGAGCUGGGAAACCAUGGAGCUGCGCCUCCAGUAUUCUUUGCCAUUAUGGUUUACAAGAACUUGCUGACUUAUGCAUAGUGCUGGUCAGAAAAGUUCUAGGAAAACCUUUCUUUUGGAAAAUGACAUUUUGUCAAACCUUAUUUUGAUUACAUUUUAUUUUUAAAAAAUUGAUAAAAUGUUCUGACAUUCAGAAUGGAAUGUUUUCAUUUUUUGUCUGAGACUGCCUUUUACUUUAGAAUAUAUAAUAUUACAAAAAAAAAUCAAUAUAAAAAUGAAUGGAUGGAGCCAUAAUUUCAUCAGGGAAUCUUGAGAUUCCCUGUAUACCAAAAGAAAAUAUUGAAAUCAUAUAAUUGCCCAUAAAACAGAAAUAGGGUUUCUUCUGUAGCUCUAAUUAUGGAAGUUCUGUGUGCAGAGAAGGACAAAACUGGAAGCAAUGAGUUGAUCAUGAUUCUUUUCUAGUUGAAAUACAGUUCAGAAAGCGUGUGAUGUGAUGUUUUUAAUAAUGCCUUUUCUUGUUUUUUUUUUCUCCUCCAGUAUAAGAGUUCAGUAUAAAAACAGCAACAAAAAUGUCAUUUGUAAUAUUGUACUAUAUCUCUGUUGACAGCAUAGAACUACAGUAUUUAUCUUCCUAUUUGUUUGGACAUCUUCUAGGACACUAUAGGGUCACCAGAAUAAUGACUCCAAAGAUGUUUUAAAUUUUCCAUUACAUAACACAGUAUAUAGACUUUUAUAUAAUCAAACAGGUAAAAUAGUAUCUGAGCAGUCAAAUAACUCAUUAGCAACUCCUUUCAGUCUGUUGCAUAAAACCACGUCCCUAAAAGUUUAGUUGAAUUGAAUUAAAGGACCACAACCAGAAAGGUAAUUUUGCUGAUGUCCCUAUAAGGUACAUUAUCCUUUUGCCCAAAGCUACAGGAAUUAUGCUCUCCCAAUAAUGUUGUCUAAGUGCCAGUAAUUCUUUUGCAAAAUGCCUCGUCUCCUACUGAGCAUGAAGGCAUUCUAUGUAAGUGCAUGGCAUUAUAAUUUACCACAUCUCUAAAUGCUUUCUCUAGACUUUUCCUGAAAUGUAAAUCAAAAUAUGGAAAUGUGGUGUAUAUAUAAAUGAUAUAUUCUAAUGUAAUAUGCCAAUUCCAGCACUUAGUUUCUGAAGUGUCCACCCAAACUUAAUCAGUGCUCAGUUAUUUCCUUAACUAUGUCUCGCAUUUAGUCUCUUGAUACUCUUAAACAGUCUAACACUGUCAGGAAAAUAUUUUAUUUUCCUUUCAUAACUUGGCUAGAUGAUCAAAUUCUUAGCCAAGACUGAUGCAAAGAACUCCAACUGUCUCCAUCCAAUUUGUCAUUCUUUCACCCACUGCAGUUUAGAAGCACUGAUUAUCUGCCCUUUGUUUUUCGUUGCCCCCCAAACCCAAAGGAUUCAAACAUUAGGAUGUUGAUGCAAAACUCUGACACAUCCUUGUGAUGGGAGAGUAGAAAAUUGAAUUUCCUGCUCCCACCCAGCAGGACUACUAGUUAAGCAGCUGACAUUGUUGUGUGCUGUAAUGUACAGAGCUUCAGUUUUCAGUGUUCACUCAUAACUCAGGGUAUUCAGCUUCCUAUUUGUGAAAUUACAGGAGAAUCUGUCACCCACAUGCAGCUUCUGAAACUAUUCGAGCCCGAGCCAUAAUGUAGUGGACUAUAGAAAGUAGAUCUACCAAUCAUGUUUCCUCUGUUGAGAAUGACUUAGGCUCUUGUGAUAAUGGAGAAGAAGGAGCCAAAUAAUCUUCAGAUGGUCUUUGAAACAUAUGAAAGCAGCACAGUUCUUUACAGUUUUGGUUGGCAGGGUCCCCUGAACAUCAUGGCUUUGGUUUUAAACAGUGAGGGAUUGUUUCCUUGAAAUUCCUUAUGUUUCCAAUCCUAUUAAACUUCCAAAUCUUUCCAAUGGCUAGUGCAAGAAUUACAGCUCUCAAUUUAGGGGGAUGUUCUACUCAGUUAAACCCUCUGUGCUUCGUUUUCUUAGGGUAAAAUCUACAUCAAUGAAGUCAAUAACAAAAUUUUAAUUUACUUAAGUGAUUACAGGUUUUAACUUACAGUUUGUCAACCCUGAAUAAUUUCUUAUUCCCAGAGGUAUUUGCAGAAUAUACUUGUGCAUGAACUGUAUUAUGAACUGAGAUGGAAGGAAAAAUAGAACAGGCAAGGAUUUUUUUUUUUUUUUUUUUAAGUACAACUCACUAGGUUCUUAGUGCAAUUCUCCCUUACAUAUGCAGCCCAGUAUCAUCUGGUUCCCACAAAAUGCAAUCAACCCAUUUAAACUAUAGGCAAAUGCUGAUGUACUCAUUCAUCUAGUCCAUUUUGUGCCAUGUUAACAUCCCUGAUGGAAAGUAUCUGGCAAUCCAAUGUGGUAUGAAGUUUGCACCACUAAUGGCAUUAAAAAAGGUGAUGUACCCUAGCCUAAAAAAAAAAAAAAUUCUAAUCACAUAAGGACUGGAGAGUUCAGCAUUACCCACAUUCAUUAACCACUUUGUAGCCAUUAUAGUGGAAUAGAAGAUUUUGCUUGAAAAUCUUACUUUACAAAUAAUGAUUGUCAAGUAAAUUGUUUUGUACCAAUAUUUAGGGAUUUGGCAUGUUCAUUGUGAAUUAUUUGACUAUGUAUUCCUAAUAAAAUUUUGUUUACAUACAUUUCAAAAGUCAA